UACAGAGGUCCCAAGCGUUGUUCGGAUUCACUGGGCGUAAAGGGUGCGUAGGCGGUCGGGUAAGUCUGAUGUGAAAUCUCACAGCUUAACUGUAAAACUGCAUUGGAUACUAUUCGGCUAGAGAGUUGGAGGGGGGACUGGAAUUCUUGGUGUAGCAGUGAAAUGCGUAGAUAUCAAGAGGAACACCAGUGGCGAAGGCGAGUCCCUGGACAACUUCUGACGCUGAGGCACGAAAGCUAGGGGAGCAAACAGG
rnacentral:rRNA from 1 species